UACGUAGGGGGCAAGCGUUGUCCGGAAUUACUGGGCGUAAAGCGCGUGUAGGCGGGACGGUAAGUCGGACGUGAAAGGCGCGGGCUUAACCCGCGAGCGCCGUUCGAAACUGCCGUUCUUGAGGGUCGAAGAGGAGAGUGGAAUUCCUGGUGUAGCGGUGAAAUGCGUAGAGAUCAGGAGGAACACCCGUGGCGAAGGCGGCUCUCUGGUCGGCCUCUGACGCUGAGACGCGAAAGCGUGGGGAGCGAACGGG
rnacentral:rRNA from 1 species